UACGGGGGGAGCAAGCGUUGUUCGGAUUUACUGGGCGUAAAGGGCGCGUAGGCGGCCAGCACAAGUCAGUUGUGAAAUCUCCGAGCUUAACUCGGAAAGGUCAACUGAUACUGUGCGACUAGAGUGCGGAAGGGGCAACUGGAAUUCUCGGUGUAGCGGUGAAAUGCGUAGAUAUCGAGAGGAACACCUGCGGCGAAGGCGGGUUGCUGGGCCGACACUGACGCUGAUGCGCGAAAGCCAGGGGAGCGAACGGG
rnacentral:rRNA from 1 species